UCAGCUCGUCGGCUGUCGGCUGGGUGGGGACGUAACAAAGCGACCCAGGAAUGCUUGGGCGUGCCUCCACCCACGCCGGCGUCGGCGGGCGUAUUUCGCCUCACAGUAGGUCGCCGCGACCCGUUGCUUUCGGGGACGUCUAAGGCCCGGACGGAUUGGUACCCUACCGGCUGGGGAUGCGGCUUCGGCUUCUCCUCUUGUCCGGUGGGCGAAACCGCCGGUGUCCUGGCUGCCCUGCGACGGUCGUAGAGACGAGCCCUCGCCCAUUCGUGGGGGGGCGGCUCUCGCGGCGUGCAAAAGGUCGGUGAUCCACCCGACCCGUCUUGAAACACGGACCAAGGAGUCUAACAUGUGUGCGAGUCAGUGGGCGCACUAAACCCAGAGGCGUAAUGAAAGUGACACGGGUUCGGCUGUCGCCUCGUGUGGCAGCCGGACUCAGGGCCGAUCCCUCACCGGUUGGCCUCGCCUCUCUUCCGCGUCUCGGUAAGCCGGGUGAGCUAUUUUCCCCGGCCGCUGCUGCGGGGCUCGGGGGGA
rnacentral:rRNA from 1 species